UACAGAGGGUGCGAGCGUUAAUCGGAAUUACUGGGCGUAAAGCGCGCGUAGGCGGCUUUGCAAGUCGGGUGUGAAAUCCCCAGGCUUAACCUGGGAACUGCAUUCGAGACUGCAUUGCUAGAGUAUGGGAGAGGGAAGUGGAAUUUCCGGUGUAGCGGUGAAAUGCGCAGAUAUCAGGAGGAACACCAAUGGCGAAGGCAGCUCGCUGGGACGGUACUGACGCUGAGACGCGAAAGCGUGGGGAGCAAACAGG
rnacentral:rRNA from 1 species